rnacentral:rRNA from 1 species
AGAGGGAAAGAACCCAGACCUACAGCUAAGGUCCCAAAAUCUACGCUAAGUUGAACUAAGGGGGUCCAGUUGCUUAGACAGCCAGGAUGUUGGCUUGGAAGCAGCCAUUCAUUUAAAGAGUGCGUAACAGCUCACUGGUCGAGCGACAGGGCAUCGAUAAUAAUCGGGCAUCAAAUACAAUACCGAAGCUUAGGAUCAUUUAUGAUGGUAGGGGAGCAUUCACUAAACAAUGAAGGUGUGACGUGAGUCAUGCUGGAGACUAGUGAAGAGCAAAUGUAGGCAUAAGUAACGAUAAGGCAGGCGAGAAACCUGCCCACCGAUAGACUAAGGAUUCCCCGGCAAUGCUAAUCAGCCGGGGGUUAGUCGGGACCUAAGGCAAACCCGAAAGGGGUAGUCGAUGGACAACUGGUUAAUAUUCCAGUACUACUUUUAUUUUCGAUGGGGUGACGGAGUAGUGAAAGCACCGCGUACUGACGGAAUAGUACGUUGAAGGGUGUAGGUAUAGGCGAUGUAGGUAAAUCCGCAUUGCUUGCUGAACCUGAUAGUACCACAAAUCUUCGGAUGCGUGGAUAGUGUGCCUAAUCAGACUUCCAAGAAAAACCUCUAAACUUAUGUUAAUGGUACCCGUACCGUAAACCGACA